UGUUAAGCCAACCCGAGUCUGCUCGCUCGGCCCAUCCUACCGCUCGCGCUCGGCCAGAGGAGACAAAGCCGCGCAGGAGGCCUUAGGCGCUGUUCCUUUCCCGGCGAUCGCCGGCGACGGCCCAUCCCGACCUCCACCCGGGCAGCGCGGCUGUGUGUCCUUGGCGUGGAAGAUCGCAGCGACAGAGCGGCCGAGCGGGGCGGGUUCGGAGCUGGAUUCGCGCGCUUUUCUGAACUCAGCGCCUGCAUUCGCGCACCAUCCACUCGUCGGCUCCCGCAACUGCUUCCGAUCGAGGCGACCCACGCUCGAGGAAUCCUCUCCAGCCAAAAUGGCGCCCGGCUCUGAUGCUUCACGGUAACCACGCUACUCACGACGGCGGCCUGCUCAGCCCUGCACCUGCAUACAGGGCCGGGUGCCCUGCAAGUGUUCGGUGAAUUGCCACACCAGGGAGAUUGCGCCGUUAGAGUUUGGUCACGGAUUAAGGACUACCGACCGGCGAAUGGUUUCGUGGUGAUUAUAUAACGACGACUUGACUCGGCGCGUGGGCGUCGUCGGGACGAAGGUGCCUAGCCUGAGCCUCUGCGGACGGACGGACGUCAGCGGUCAUCGGAGAAAGUGAAGUAAGGAACCAAAGUCUUCUCUGGUCAAAUAAACUAAGCUAUUCUUGCCUAGCUUUUUGAGAUGAAGCCGAUCGGAAACAUCGUGGUGACCAGAGUACGCGUUUGCGUUUUUGGAUGUCUUCGUGUAGAUCAUCGUUGGACAGAUGCUGUUCGGCCUGGUCAUGAUUCUCUUCUGUUGUUUUUACUACGACAGCCUUCCUAGGUACAGUGUUACUUGGAUAUUUUCUCCGUAGGUGUGUUCUUUGGAUCCUCAUCUCCUUUCUCCUUAUUAUAGGUACUUCGACUGUGGUGGGAGCAAAAAUUAUAUAAUUGAAGCUUUUUUGAAUAUGAA